UUUUGCUGAUAGGACAAACAACACAAAGAUAGAUCAAUUAAAAGAAGAAAUACAAGAAUCAAGGGAAAAAGAAAUUGCUAGCAACAAUUAGAAUCCACUAAACUAAACUUUAUUUCUUCAAAUUAUUCUUUCUUUAACUCCAAUUUCAACGACUCUAUUUAUAAACUUAACUUAGGCCAUGUUUGGUUCGUUGCUUGUCUCAUUCUUUUAAUUCUUGUCGAUUCUAGCAAAGAAUGUGUGAUAUAAGUGUGUGGAUAUUCAUUUCUUGUCACAGAAUUCAUUCUUCCCAGAUUGAAAUUUGAGCUUCGGCAAAAAUUUGUGGCACGAAAAAUUUUCGUACCCUACCAAUUCUUUUUUUUUUUCGUUCGAGUUCGAAUCUCUCGACUUUCACUGAACCCUCGCUCUCUGUACAAGGUAACCAUGAGAUCGAAAUAAGAAAACAUAUGUCAUUUUUCCCCACGACAAGAGAAAGAAGAAAUAAGAAAAAUGAUCAUUUGACUGCUUAACGAUGAUCAAGCAAAGCAUAGAAGAAAGGGAAUCGGGGAGCACCUUUUACAUUUGUUUGUCUGUCUAUUUUCCUAGUUCUUAAAUUCUUCUCUAAUUUCUUUUGAUGUAGGACAUUGCCCUCGCCGACUUGGCUCCCACUCACCCAAUAAGGCUUGGGCUUGCACCCAAUAAAGCAGCCUUCAUUUUAGCGACCUGUACAAAAGCUUGUGGAAAGCAAAUUUUGGUGGAACCCCAAAUGACAAAAGG